rnacentral:rRNA from 1 species
GGGGGGGGGGGGGGGGGGGGGGGGGAGGGGCGGGGCGGGGGGGAGGGGCGGGUUGGGGGGGGGCUCGAGGGGCGAGCGGGUGGGUAACACGUGAGUGGCCUGCCCUUGGCUUUGGGAUAACGUCAGGGAACUGGGGCUAAUACCGGAUAGGAGCUCCUGCGGCAUGGUGGGGGUGGAAAAGUUUCGGCGGUUGGGGAUGGACUCGCGGCUUAUCAGCUUGUUGGUGGGGUAGUGGCUUACCAAGGCGUUGACGGGUAGCCGGCCUGAGAGGGUUACCGGCCACAUUGGGACUGAGAUACGGCCCAGACUCCUACGGGAGGCAGCAGUGGGGAAUAUUGCACAAUGGGUGGAAGCCUGAUGCAGCAACGCCGUGUGCGGGAUGACGGCCUUCGGGUUGUAAACCGCUUUCGCUCAUGACGAAGCUUUGUGUGACGGUAGUGGGUAAAGAAGCACCGGCUAACUACGU